CCGGGGUCGCCGCCGCCCUCCGAGCCGGCUCCGCGGUGCCAGCCCCGCUGUGACGCAGGCCGCGGUGCCCGGGAACUUCCUCCCCUGUAGAGACCACCCCGCACCCAGGACCCGCCAGCGAGGGCUGCUGCCAGCCGCCAGGGGCUUUCUCCGGGACCUGGAGAGAAAUCCUCUCUCCGCUUCUCGACGCAGCCACUCCCUGAGAAGCCCACCUGGCGGGCUCUGCGUGGGGGAGGGGGGAUUCGGCUGCGUCUACACCACCUCCACCCCUCAUCCCUAACAAUACACGGAAAACCACAGGCGGCUGUGCGCGCCGCGUCGGCUCAGCCACCGCGGCUCCUCCCCUGGGAUGAAAAAGCAAACUCUGACGUCUUGAAAGCUGGCAGCUUUCUGGAUGGAAAACCUCUGCCAGUGAAAAAAAUGUACAGACAAGAUUACUAAGUAACACAAUAUUCCGGGAAUGCCUUAUCAAUGCCAGCUAUUUGAAGAGCACCCAAAGUCAAACUAGUGCCCAGCCCUGGCAGUCUGGAACAGACAGAUGUAUGUGAGUAGAGAAACUGAUAGACACCUAGUCGCUGGCCACUUGGCCUGUUUUCAUACUACAAGCCUUCAGAAAACAGUUGCCGCCUUUUGCCAUGUUCUAUUUCUAAACAUAAAUGAAAAGGACGUUUGUUCAAAAGAU